rnacentral:sRNA from 1 species
AUUUCAGCGAUACAUGUACAAUUUUCACUCCUGCACAUUUGCUGAUGCAUUACAUUAACAUGUUUUAAACACCAUAUGCGUACUUGGAUAUUACAGCAUGCGCUUUUCACAGUUAAGUUCACGUUAAAAUAGCACUCGCAUGCAUUUCAUUAUACUGAGUUUGCGGUUUUAGAUAUAAAUCAUUCUUCGUAUUGGUUUCUUUAAUUGAAAAUAUGCAGAAAAAACCAUGAUUAUUAGAUAAUAUGAUAUAAAAAUCAAGUGCAAUUAGUUGUUUUUACAUACAUAUCAUGUUUUCUUUACAUUAUACAAAAUCAUGUAUUUUGAAUCUGCCUGUCAUCAUCAUGAUGAAUAAAAUCGUAUUGAUAUUAUG